rnacentral:misc_RNA from 1 species
GAUGAAGACGUAGUGAAAUGCGAUAAGUAAUGUGAAUUGCAGAAUUCAGUGAAUCAUCGAAUCUUUGAACGCACCUUGCACCCUUUGGCAUUCUGAAGGGUAUGCUCGUUUGAGUGUCAUUGUACUCUCACACUCCCGAUCUUUGCAUUGGGAGCAGUGGACUUGGGUUUGCUGCUUCACCGUCGCUUACCUCAAAUAGGUUAGUGCAACUCUUGGUUGGACAUAGUACGGCGUGAUAAGUGUUCUUCGCCGGUGCCUCGCAAAGAGGGUGGCCGAUCGGGAUGUUGUGCUCCAAACCGUCUUCGGACAAUCUCUGACGACUUGACCUCAAAUCGAGUAAGACUACCCGCUGAACUUAAGCAUAUCAAUAAGCGGAGGA